rnacentral:rRNA from 1 species
GAGCCAAGAUUGGCUGCCACAAGCAGCUACUGUGAUUAAACUGAAGAGUUUGAUCCUGGCUCAGAUUGAACGCUGGCGGUAUGCUUAACACAUGCAAGUCGAACGGAAACGAUGGAAGCUUGCUUCCAGGCGUCGAGUGGCGGACGGGUGCGUAACGCGUAGGAAUUUACCUUAUAGUCGGGGACAACUUGGGGAAACUCAAGCUAAUACCGGAUAAUCCUUACGA